rnacentral:rRNA from 1 species
UACGUAGGGUGCGAGCGUUGUCCGGAAUUAUUGGGGCGUAAAGGGGCUCGUAGGCGGUUUUGUCACGCGGGAGUGAAAACUCGGGGCUUAACCCCGAGCCUGCUUUCCGAUACGGGCUGACUAGAGGUAUCAGGGGGAGAACGAAUUCCUGGUGUAGCGGUGAAAAUGCGCAGAUAUCAGGGAGGGAAACACCCGGUGGGCGAAAGGGCGG